UAGAGUUUGAUCCUGGCUCAGAUUGAACGCUGGCGGCAGGCCUAACACAUGCAAGUCGAACGGUAACAGGAAGCAGCUUGCUGCUUUGCUGACGAGUGGCGGACGGGUGAGUAAUGUCUGGGAAACUGCCCGAUGGAGGGGGAUAACUACUGGAAACGGUAGCUAAUACCGCAUAAUGUCGCAAGACCAAAGAGGGGGACCUUCGGGCCUCUUGCCAUCGGAUGUGCCCAGAUGGGAUUAGCUUGUUGGUGAGGUAACGGCUCACCAAGGCGACGAUCCCUAGCUGGUCUGAGAGGAUGACCAGCCACACUGGAACUGAGACACGGUCCAGACUCCUACGGGAGGCAGCAGUGGGGAAUAUUGCACAAUGGGCGCAAGCCUGAUGCAGCCAUGCCGCGUGUAUGAAGAAGGCCUUCGGGUUGUAAAGUACUUUCAGCGGGGAGGAAGUGUUGUGGUUUAUAACCGCAGCAAUUGACAGUACCCGCAGAGAGCACCGGCUAACUCCGUGCCAGCAGCCGCGGUAUACGGAGGUGCAGCGUUAAUCGGAUUACUGGGCGUAAGCGCACGCAGCGUCUGUCAGUCGAUGUGAAUCCCGGGCUCACCUGGGACUGCAUUCGAACUG
rnacentral:rRNA from 1 species